rnacentral:rRNA from 1 species
UACAGGGGGGGCAAGCGUUGUUCGGAAUUACUGGGCGUAAAGGGGUAGUAGGCGGCCAACUAAGUCCGACGUGAAAUCCCAAGGCUUAACCUUGGAACUGCGUCGGAUACUGGAUGGCUUGAAUUCGGGAGAGGGAUGCAGAAUUCCAGGUGUAGCGGUGAAAUGCGUAGAUAUCUGGAGGAAUACCGGUGGCGAAGGCGGCAUCCUGGACUGGUCCUGACACUCAGGAGCGAAAGCGUGGGGAGCGAUCCGG